GUUCAAUAUAAAAACAAAUUACUCCUAAAUUUUAGUGAUGCGGUUAGUGAUAUGCUUAUCUCCUAAAUUUUAGUAUAAAUAAAAUUGAAAUAUUACCUGAUCGUCAUUAAAUAACUUCUUAUCUGUGUAGUAGAAUCCUCUUUUUGGGAGGAAGAUGGUUGUUGGUCAAUAACCCUAUAAUCAACCUAAGAUUAUGCUGAAUCCAAUUGAAACGGCAUGACCCUUCUCCCCCUUCUAUCUUUAAUUUUUUAUACUUGAGCACAAAACGGUCGAGUUU
rnacentral:lncRNA from 1 species